AACGAACGCUGGCGGCAGGCUUAACACAUGCAAGUCGAACGCUCACCUUCGGGUGGGAGUGGCAGACGGGUGAGUAACGCGUGGGAACGUACCCUUUGGUUCGGAAUAACCCAGGGAAACUUGGGGUAAUACCGGAUACGCCCUUCGGGGGAAAGGUUUACUGCCGAAGGAUCGGCCCGCGUCGGAUUAGCUAGUUGGUGGGGUAAAAGCCUACCAAGGCGACGAUCCGUAGCUGGUCUGAGAGGAUGAUCAGCCACACUGGGACUGAGACACGGCCCAGACUCCUACGGGAGGCAGCAGUGGGGAAUAUUGGACAAUGGGCGCAAGCCUGAUCCAGCCAUGCCGCGUGAGUGAAGAAGGCCUUAGGGUUGUAAAGCUCUUUCAGCGGGGAAGAUAAUGACGGUACCCGCAGAAGUAGCCCCGGCUAACUUCGUGCCAGCAGCCGCGGUAAUACGAAGGGGGCUAGCGUUGUUCGGAAUUACUGGGCGUAAAGCGCGCGUAGGCGGGUGAUUAAGUCAGGGGUGAAAUGCCGAGGCUCAACCUCGGAACUGCCUUUGAUACUGGUCGCCUGGAGUUCGGGAGAGGUAAGUGGAAUUCCGAGUGUAGAGGUGAAAUUCGUA
rnacentral:rRNA from 1 species